UGUGUGUGUGUGUGUGUGUGUGUGUGUGUGUGUACGACGUAAUAUCCCUGUAACCGGAACCCGCGGGGCCACUUAUCGAUCGAGCGCAAUUUUUUUCCCUCUCCUAAAAUCGCCGCUCUCCCCUCACUCACACACACACACACACACACACACCCACGCA